rnacentral:rRNA from 1 species
AGGGCAGACGGUGGAUGCCUUGGCUCUCGGAGGCGACGAAGGACGUGAUAAGCUGCGAAAAGCCCGGGGGAGGCGCAAAUAGCCGUUGAUCCCGGGAUAUCCGAAUGGGGCAACCCGGCAGGCUGAAGGCCUGUCAUCCCGAAAGGGAGGCGAACGUGGGGAACUGAAACAUCUAAGUACCCAUAGGAGGAGAAAAUAAACAAUGAUUCCGUAAGUAGUGGCGAGCGAACACGGAAGAGCCCAAACCCAUGUCGUCUAGGCGACACGGGGGUUGUAGGACCACGACGUGGCAAGAAGGAAGGGAAAUGGAACGCCUUGGAAAAGUCGGCCAUAGACGGUGAAAGCCCGGUACAUGACUCCCUUACGAAGCCUAGUGGUAUCCUGAGUAGCGCGGGGCACGAGAAAUCUUGCGUGAAGCAGCGGGGCCCAUCCCGUAAGGCUAAAUACUCCCGAGAGACCGAUAGCGAACCAGUACCGUGAGGGAAAGGUGAAAAGAACCCCGAGCAGGGGAGUGAAAUAGACCCUGAACCCGUCUGCCUACAAGCGGUCGGAGCGUCGUAAUGACGUGACGGCGUGCCUUUUGCAUAAUGAACCUACGAGUUACCUUCCCCGGCAAGGUUAAGUUCUUGAGGAACGGAGCCGAAGCGAAAGCGAGUCUGAACAGGGCGCCAAGUCGGGGGGGGUAGACGCGAAACCGAGUGAUCUACCCUUGGCCAGGUUGAAGGUUGGGUAACACCAACUGGAGGACCGGAUGGGUAAGCGUUGAAAAGCUUUCCAAUGAGCUGAGGGUAGGGGUGAAAGGCUAAUCAAACUCGGAGAUAGCUCGUACUCCCCGAAAUGCAUUUAGGUGCAGCCUCUUUAUAGUAUAUCGUGAGGUAGAGCGACUGAUUGGAUGCGAGGGCUUCACCGCCUAUCAAGUCCAGAUAAACUCCGAAUGCGCGAUAUAUAUUUACAGGGAGUGAGGGCGCGGGUGCUAAGGUCCGUGUCCGAGAGGAGAAGAAUCCAGACCACCGGCUAAGGCCCCCAAAUGAUCGUUAAGUUGAACUAACGAGGUCGGAUCGCAGAGACAGCUAGGAUGUUGGCUUGGAAGCAGCCAUUCAUUUAAAGAGUGCGUAACAGCUCACUAGUCGAGCGAUCUGGCGUGGAUAAUAAUCGGGCAUAAACGAUCUGCCGAAGCCGUGGAUGUCGCAAGACAUGGUAGGGGAGCAUUCCAUGCCGCGUCGAAGAUGAGGGAUGACCCUUGUUGGAGCGCAUGGAAAAGCAAAUGUAGGUAUGAGUAACGAUAAGGGGGGCGAGAAACCCCCCCGCCGAAAGACCAAGGUUUCCUGAUCAACGCUAAUCGGAUCAGGGUGAGUCGGGACCUAAGGCAAAGCCGAACGGCGCCGCCGAUGGAAGAAUGGGUUAAUAUUCCCAUACUGCCUCAUGGAGUGACGUGGAGACGGAGAAGUGACAGUCCUGCCGGCUGACGGAAUAGCCGGUUGAAGGGUGUAGAUAUUGAUUCCCGUAGGCAAAUCCGCGGGGAGAGUCGAACCUGAGAGUAUACGGAGCGCUUGCGCAACGUAAUAUGGACGUAACCAUGCUCCCGAGAAAAUCCGCUAAACUUAUCCAUGCGGCACCCGUACCGUAAACGGACACACGUGGUCGGGUUGAGAAUACUGAGGCGCUCGAGUGAUUCACGGUUAAGGAACUAGGCAAAUUGACCCUGUAACUUCGGGAUAAAGGGUCCUCGUCGUAAGGCGAGGCGCAGAGAAUAGGUCCAGGCAACUGUUUAACAAAAACACAUGGCUGUGCUAAAUGGAAACAUGAUGUAUACAGCCUGACACCUGCCCGGUGCUGGAAGGUUAAGAGGAGAUGUCAUCGCAAGAGAAGCGUUGAAUUGAAGCCCCAGUAAACGGCGGCCGUAACUAUAACGGUCCUAAGGUAGCGAAAUUCCUUGUCGGGUAAGUUCCGACCUGCACGAAUGGUGUAAUGAUCUGGACACUGUCUCAACCGUGAGCUCGGUGAAAUUGUAGUAUCGGUGAAGAUGCCGAUUACCCGCGAUGGGUUCUUCGGAUACUACGUCCACAGCGGCGGCGCGGAGACGGCCGCUUUCCAGCGCGGCUUUUACCGCCGCUUCGUCCACGAGACCGCCCCGGGAGGUGUUGAUGAGGAUGGCGCCCGCCUUCAUUUUCGCGAGGGUGCCGGCGUUUAUCAGCUUCGCUGUCGCCGGGGUGAGAGGGCAGUGGAGGGAGACAAAAUCCGACUGGGCGAGCAGGGUGUCCAGAUCGACAUACUGCGCCAGCGCUUCCCCGCCCGGACGGCGUGUGCGGCUGUAGGCGAGGACGUUCAUGCCGAAGGCGCGGGCGAUGUUCGCCACGGCCUGACCGAUGCGCCCGAAGCCGACAAUGCCCAGCGUCUUCCCGGCCAGCUCCAUCUGCGGGGUGUCCCAGAAGCAGAAGGAGCCACAGCUUUCCCACCGACCCGCAUGUACCAGCGCGUCGUGAUGGCCGACCCGGUGACACAGCUCCAGCAUCAGCGCGAACGUAAACUGCGCCACGGCGGCGGUACCGUAGGUGGGGACGUUGGUCACGGGAAUGCCCCGGCGGGCGCAGGCGGCACAGUCCACGGUAUUGUAGCCCGUCGCCUGAACGCAGAUCAGA